rnacentral:rRNA from 1 species
CCUACGGGUGGCAGCAGUGAGGAAUAUUGGUCAAUGGGCGAGAGCCUGAACCAGCCAAGUCGCGUGAGGGAAGACGGUCCUAUGGAUUGUAAACCUCUUGUGUCGGGGAGCAAAAAGGCCUCGUGAGGCCACAAGUGAGAGUACCCGAAGAAAAAGCAGCGGCUAACUCCGUGCCAGCAGCCGCGGUCAUACGGAGGAUGCGAGCGUUAUACGGAUUUAGUGGGUUUAAAGGGUGAGUAGGCGUACUGGAAAGUCAGCGGUAAAAUCGAGAGGCUCAACCUCUUUCCGCCGUUGAAACUGUCGGUCAUGAGGGGGCUAGAAGUAUGCGGAAUGCGUGGUGUAGCGGUGAAAUGCAUAGAUAUCACGCAGAACUCUGAUUGCGAAGGCAGCAUACCGGCGCCCGACUGACGCUGAGGCACGAAAGCGUGGGUAUCGAACAGGAUUAGAUACCCGAGUAGUC